UACGUAGGGGGCAAGCGUUGUCCGGAAUCAUUGGGCGUAAAGCGCGUGUAGGCGGCUCGGUAAGUCUGCUGUGAAAGUCCAGGGCUCAACCCUGGGAUGCCGGUGGAUACUGUCGAGCUCGAGUCCGGAAGAGGAGGGCGGAAUUCCCGGUGUAGCGGUGAAAUGCGUAGAUAUCGGGAGGAACAUCAGUGGCGAAGGCGGCCCUCUGGUCCAGUACUGACACUCAAGUGCGAAAGCGUGGGGAGCAAACAGG
rnacentral:rRNA from 1 species